rnacentral:rRNA from 1 species
CCUACGGGCGACAGCAGUGAGGAAUAGUGGUCAAUGGACGCAAGUCUGAACCAGCCAUGCCGCGUGCAGGAAGACGGCGCUAUGAGUUGUAAACUGCUUUUGUACGAGGGUAAACGCAGAUACGCGUAGCUGUCUGAAAGUAUCGUACGAAUAAGGAGCGGCGAACUCCGGGCCAGCAGCCGCGGUAAUACGGAGGAUUCAAGCGUUAUCCGGAUUUAUUGGGUUUAAAGGGUGCGUAGGCGGUCGGAUAAGUUAGAGGUGAAAUCCCGAGGCUCAACUUCGGAAUUGCCUCUGAUACUUUUCGGCUAGUGAGUAGUUGCGGUAGGCGUAAUGUAUGGUGUAGCGG